rnacentral:snoRNA from 13 species
UGAUGGCGAUGAUGAUUUUUACAUGUAUUGUUCACCUGAUGACAGUAUGAGAGUGUUCAGUCACUACCUCAUCUGAUGCCAUCU